ACAAGUUUCACAUUAUUUUUGGGGCCCCUUAUUAUUAUAGAGAAUGAUUACUCUAUUCAGUAAUAAUCUUGAAUUGAGACUUGAGAAGAAAUAUUUUCACUUGUCACUUGCAAUAACACCACACUUUCUUUUUUAUAUUUAUUUCAAAAUUGCAUUUGAUAAAAAAAAAUUCGGAAAGAUACACAAGUUAACAUGACAAAUGCACAACAAAAGAAAAUAACAAAUUUUGCUAUCCCUUCGAAAUUUAAAUUUGAUAAAGUGAAAAUGACAUGUUCUAUUUAUAUCAUACAUGUGUAGUUUCAGUUUCAACUAGGAUUCUAAAUAUAGACUUUACUUUCCCUAAAAUUGCGGACGGAAUAGAAGACACCCGUUAAUUU
rnacentral:lncRNA from 1 species